rnacentral:rRNA from 1 species
UACGUAGGGUGCGAGCGUUAAUCGGAAUUACUGGGCGUAAAGCGUGCGCAGGCGGUUAUAUAAGACAGAUGUGAAAUCCCCGGGCUCAACCUGGGAACUGCAUUAGUGACUGUAUAGCUAGAGUGCGGCAGAGGGGGAGUGGAAAUUCCCGCGUGUAGCAGUGAAAUGCGUAGAUAUGCGGAGGAACACCGAUGGCGAAGGCAAUCCCCUGGGCCUGCACUGACGCUCAUGCNCGAAAGCGUGGGGAGCAAACAGGAUUAGAUA